rnacentral:rRNA from 1 species
GGGCUGGGGUGCUAUACUGCAAGUCGAGCGAACUGACGAGGAGCUUGCUCCUUUGACGUUAGCGGCGGACGGGUGAGUAACACGUGGGUAACCUACCUAUAAGACUGGAAUAACUCCGGGAAACCGGGGCUAAUGCCGGAUAACAUAUCGAACCGCAUGGUUCGAUAGUGAAAGACGGUCUUGCUGUCACUUAUAGAUGGACCCGCGCCGUAUUAGCUAGUUGGUGAGGUAACGGCUCACCAAGGCGACGAUACGUAGCCGACCUGAGAGGGUGAUCGGCCACACUGGAACUGAGACACGGUCCAGACUCCUACGGGAGGCAGCAGUAGGGAAUCUUCCGCAAUGGGCGAAAGCCUGACGGAGCAACGCCGCGUGAGUGAUGAAGGUCUUCGGAUCGUAAAGCUCUGUUGUUAGGGAAGAACAAAUGUGUAAGUAACUGUGCACAUCUUGACGGUACCUAACCAGAAAGCCACGGCUAACUACGUGCCAGCAGCCGCGGUAAUACGUAGGUGGCAAGCGUUAUCCGGAAUUAUUGGGCGUAAAGCGCGCGUAGGCGGUUUUUUAAGUCUGAUGUGAAAGCCCACGGCUCAACCGUGGAGGGUCAUUGGAAACUGGAAAACUUGAGUGCAGAAGAGGAAAGUGGAAUUCCAUGUGUAGCGGUGAAAUGCGCAGAGAUAUGGAGGAACACCAGUGGCGAAGGCGGCUUUCUGGUCUGUAACUGACGCUGAUGUGCGAAAGCGUGGGGAUCAAACAGGAUUGAUACCCUGGUAGUCCACGCCGUAAACGAUGAAUGCUAAGUGUUAGGGGGUUUCCGCCCCUUAAUGCUGCGGCUAACGCAUUAAGCCCUCCGCCUGGGGAGUACGUCGCCAGACUGAACUCCAAGGAAUUGACGGGGACCCGCCAACCGGGGAGCAUGGGGUUAUUCGAGCCACCCGAAGACUUACAAAUCUUGACUCUUUGACGGCUAAGAUAAAGUUUCCUUUCCGAAGACAAAUGACAGGUGGCCUGGUUGCCCCACUCCGGGCC